rnacentral:ncRNA from 1 species
GUCCGCAGCGCCGAAACCGAUCCGCACGGAUCGGCGAGAGGGAACCCGGUGGGAAUCCGGGACUGUCCCGCAGCGGUAUACGGGAACGACCGCCGUCAUCGGCACUGGGCACGAGCCUGGGAAGCGACGGCCAGUAGGUGGCUCCAGGGGCCGCGCCCGCAAGUCCGAAGACCUGCCGGCUGUGCCGGAUACGC